AUUAGAAUUGUUCUGCUUGACCCAAGAAGAGACAACUGGGAACAAUGGAUAGAAACUCUCCAGAGGUACUCUGGAAUGUCCUUAAGGUUGCUUGUUGAACCAGAGAUUCCUUGUUGGAGAUGCUCAAUCUUGUGAAAUACACACACACAGAAAACAGCCCUGGAGGAAGAUCCAAGCUGGACAAGAAAGAUCUGAGCAAUGCAAUUAGAAUAACUGAUAUUGACUAAAACCAGAAGACCCCAUGGUUGGAGACCACAGAAACAUCCAGAUUUCUUUUUUAAAACCAUUAGUGUUCCAUGAAGAAUAUGAGUUUCUCAAUGAGGAAAAGCCUCCUGUGAAGUUGAAGUCCACUUGGUUGUGUUUCUGAAACAGAGUCUUAAGGGGCAGCAAGAAGAAUGGGAGGAGUGAGCCCUUUCCUCCAAAGCCUAAUUUUGCCAGAAAAAAAAAAAAAAAGGAAGUAUUGGGUUUGAUUGAAGACAGUCUCUGUUCUUUCUCUGGCCCGAUGCAGCAUAGUGGAAAGGAGCUGGUAACCAAAA